rnacentral:rRNA from 1 species
UGAAUGCGUUCCCGGGUCUUGUACACACCGCCCGUCACGCCAUGGGAGUUGGGAGUACCCAAAGUCGGCGACCUAACCGCAAGGAAGGAACCGCCUAAGGUAAUACCAAUGACUGGGGUGAAGUCGUAACAAGGUAAC